UACGAAGGGGACUAGCGUUGUUCGGAAUUACUGGGCGUAAAGCGCACGUAGGCGGAUUUGUAAGUCAGGGGUGAAAUCCCGGGGCUCAACCUCGGAACUGCCUUUGAUACUGCAAAUCUCGAGUCCGAUAGAGGUGGGUGGAAUUCCUAGUGUAGAGGUGAAAUUCGUAGAUAUUAGGAAGAACACCGGUGGCGAAGGCGGCAUCCUGGACCGGUAUUGACGCUGAGGCGCGAAAGCCAGGGGAGCAAAGCGGG
rnacentral:rRNA from 1 species